ACCAGCUGGACUGAAGGCCUGUUUGGUAAGAUCCAGUUAUAGCACACUGAACUCUUAGUGUCAGACUGCCUGUCGAUAAAUGUUACAUAGAGGAAUCGUUAACAUACAUACAAAGUGUUCCAAUGGCAAUGACCUGCUUAAAUGUUUAUUGCAUAUCCUUUGGCCAGGAAGCAGUAGUAACAUUGAUCUAUAUGAAAAUAUAAAAAUAUAUCAGUAUAUCAUUGAAACCGGGGGAUGUGGGUGAACAACAUAUCCAAAAUUCACCCAGAUCCGUUCAGUACUUUGGAAGAUACAGUUUAAUGCCGAUUUUACAGAACAUAUGCAGGCUAUAUGAAAAACUAUUACUGUAUAUGAUUUUCACAGUGAGAAGAUGCCAGCGUCCAUAGGAAAGCAUUGUGAAUGCUUUCCUAUGAGACUGGCUGAAUGCGCGUGCGGCUCUUGCCGCGCAUGCGCAUUCAGCCGAGGAGGCGGAGAGGAGGAGGAGAGCCCCCGCCCGGUGCUGGAGAAAGAGGUAAGUUUAACCCCUUCCUCCCCUUAGAGCCCGGCGGGUGGGGGACCCUGAGGGUGGGGGCACUGACACUAUAGUGGUCCUUUAACCCCUUAAGGACUGAGCCAAAUGUACACGUUGUGAUCAAAACAAAACGUAAACAAAAACUUGAAUUUGCGCUAUAUGUCUGUUCAAGCGUAAUUGACCUCUUUCAUAUUAUGUGCACCCACACUUAUUAUAUAUCAUUUUAUUCAGGGGAAACAUGGCUUUCAGUUAACAUCAAAUAUUUAGGUAUAAAACAUAAUUUAAUAUGAAUAAAAUAUAAAAUAUGGGAGAAAAUAAGAAUUUUUAAAAAAUGUUUAGUUCUACGUGACAUUCUAACUGUGAAUGUCAUAAUACUGUUUGAUUUUACUGCAAUAAAAUACACAUAUUUGUAUUCAGCGAUGUCUCGUGGGUAAAACAGUACCCUCGUGUACAGGUUUUAUGAGGUUUUUGAAAGUUACAAGGUCAAAUAUAGCAUAUUACAUUUUUCAGUUUAUACACAUUAAGAUUUGCCAGAUUGGUUAUGUUGCUUUUAAGACUGGGUUGUAGCCCAGGAAUGAGAAUUACCCCCUUGAUAGCAUACCAUUUGCAAAAGAAGACAACCCAAGGUAUUACAAAUGGGGUCCAGUCUUUUUUUAGCAGUCACUUAGUCACAAGCAUCCAUACAAUUACAUUACUUUUGACAAUACUGUAACAAAUCACCUGGCACCCCGACUGAGUACCUCCGUUGGAGGAUGCUCCUAGCACUUCCUGAGGACUCCAAGCACUGCAGCAGACACCAAAACCACCGAACCGUAGGAGCAUAUGAAUGCUCUCAAGCAUAUGAAUGUUGUAUACAGCUGAAUAGGAAAACCAUGCGAAUAGGUUUACACUCCUAGCAGUCAAACUGGAACAGCAUACAAUAAAUCCUCCCCCAAUAAUGAGACGACACUUCACUUUGAGGGUUAAGCAGGAACUGACUGGACUGGCACAUACAGCCUCUUUUAUUCCCAAUCCACAAACUUAGUACUGCCCACAGGGUUUUACAGAACAACCAAUAACACGUACAAUACACUCAGACACUCCCACACAAAAUCCUCCCCUCUGCCUGUGAUACAAUUACCUUACACAAUGGGUAAUCUAAUUAUCACAGACAGAGAAAUACAGUUUCAUAAAACACAUCACAGGGACCCCAAAACAUGCAAUAACCCCAUAAAAAUAUAUCAGUAUAUCAUUGGAACCGGGGGAUCUGGGUGAACCACAUAUCCAAAAUUCACCCAGAUCCGUUCAGUACUUUGGAAGAUACAGUUUAAUGCAGAUUUUACAGAACAUAUGCAGGCUAUAUGAAAAACUAUUACUGUAUAAGGUGUCCCCUGUUGUAUUGUCCAAAACCACUGCACAAUGUCUCUGUGCACCAAAUACUGGCGAGAUGGCACCGUGUUGAAAAGUCCAAACAGUGUCUGUGAGUUAAAAUGGCCGCCAUCCAUUGUUCUCACCAAGUGCUUCAUCCAUUGUUCUCACCAUGUGCCUCUGAUACAGGAAAUGGUGGCCACCCAGUAACUCCACAGUAUAGUGCCAGAUGGUUCUUAAAGGGCCAGCGUCUACCUCCCAGGCAGUUGAACGACCUGUGAUUACAGGAGCCAGCGUGACCACCCUCAAUGUCAUAAGGCCAGUGCCAUGUAAGAGGAGAAUGUGACUGACUGCCAAGCCAUACCAAGCUCUGGCCCUGCCUUCAUCUUUUAUUAAAUACAUGGAGGACCACAAAAAAAAAAGAAAAGGGAAAGGAAGUCCUGUUCAUAAUCUGAGUGUGAAUUGAGGCAAGUGCAGGCCUAAGAAAGGCAACAUACAUACCCCUACUAUCGUCCACCCAUACGUUACACUCCAAUGUAUUCUAAAGAUUAAAAAAAGUGUACUAUAUGCUAAACGCCAUAUCAGUGGCGUACACACAAUCCAUGGGGCCCCGGUGCGAAACUGAUCCGUGGGCCCCACCUUUCCUCCUCCCCCCACCCCACCCUGAAACGCGCGUCGGGUUAGACGUCCUUCCAUUAGGUUAGGUCUUUGUUGCAGCUCAGUUACCUCUUGCUGGUCUGGGGAUGACUUUAUGUUAGUAUUUUGUAGCUUUAGCCAGCUCACUUAGUAACAGUUUCAUAGACCCCCUUUUCUCCUCAAUUGCUUCCUAGACAGGAAGGUUUUCACUUGGCUUAUUUAAAGAGCCGAAUUGUAUAUACUAUUUACCCCUUUCUAGGAUUGACUUAGGUAGCUUUAUUACUAUGAUUCUUUGACAGUUACCUCUUUUGGAUACAUUUUGAUAGUGCCAGUGGUUCGAUUGCUACAUUUAAAGGACCACUAUAGUGCCAGGAAAACAUACUCGUUUUCCUGGCACUAUAGUGCCCUGAGGGUGCCCCCACCCUCAGGGACCCCCUCCCGCCGGGCUCUGGAAGGGGUAAAAACGUACCUUUUUCCAGCGCUGGGCAGGGAGCUCUCCUCCUCCGAUCCUCCUUCUCUCCUCCCCGUCAGCUGAAUGCGCACGCGCGGCAAGAGCUGCACGCGCAGUCAGCCGGUCGCAUAGGAAAGCAUUAUCAAUGCUUUCCUAUGGACGCUGGCGUGCUCUCACUUUGAUUUUCACAGUGAGAAUCACGCAAGCGCCUCUAGCGGCUGUCAAUGAGACAGCCGCUAGAGGGAAUGGGGGAAGGCUUAACUGCUAUGUUUAUAAAAAAAAUGGGUUAACCCUAGCUGGACCAGGCACCCAUUAAGCUGAAGUGGUCUGGGUGCCUAGAGUGGUCCUUUAAGAUUGUUACGUUUAAGCUUUAUAGAGGGGAUUGAUACUCUUCUCUAGGGGGGAUUCCCUGUUUUGUUGCCUGACCAGGCUCAGAGACUGAUCUCAGAUACUUGUGGUCUAAAUUAUUAGACUACAUACUAAAGGUGUGCCUACUAUAUCUUGAGGUAUUUUAAGAAUUACAUAUACCGUAUGCAGUAACUGACUUUAUCCUAUGUUAGCUACGGUUUCCUUAGUAGCCUACCCCUCUGAAGGGCAUUACCAUUUUUCUAAGAACAUAGGAGGCUGGCUUAGUUUACUUAGUUUCUAUUUUUAAACUCUACAUUUCUCUAUUAGCAGAAAGAGAUUUUUUGAAUUUAAACACUAGAUCUUCCUGAUGUGUGUGGUCUGAACUAAUAAUAAGACCACACACUGAAGGUGUAUAUAUUUAUAAACUUUGAGGACUUUAAGGAUUACAUAUUGGGUUAUCGUAUGCAGUAACACUGGGGGAUUUAUUUAGUAUCAGUACAUUGUAACUGAAUUUAUUUAACCCCAGUAUGUAUAUUAGCUGCGACCACCCUAGUAAUCUAACCUCUAAUGAAUAUCACAAGUCGUUAAGAAAUAGUGAGUGGACUUAAUCUUUUUAUCUUCUCUGUUAUACUUUAUAUCUUCUAAACAGGAAAGAGAGACGGUCUGAAUUUUUACUCUAUAUUUCAUGCUGAAUAUAUACAGAUUGUAACAUUCAGAAUUUCGGGGAUUCCACUUUGUGGAACCCCUUACUAUCUAGAUAAACUACCGUUUAUUGCUUGGUUAAUAACCUCUGAAGUCAUACCCCUAAUUAGUGACAUAUGGCUAUUAGUCUGACGGUAUAGGCCAAUUUAUCAUCAUUGCCCUAUAGCCAUUUACAUUUAUACAUGCAAGGGUCUACUGAGGCUGCAUCAAGCUUUUCCUUUUUAAUCCCACUAGCACGUUUGUGUGUUGCACUAUUAUUAUUUUUCUUCUACUUUUUUAUUACAAAAUUAAAAUAUUAUUUAAUAAUGAUUGUUUGAUUUUAUACAGUGUCGCCCUUACUGUUGUGGGUACUCCUCAGUGGGUUAUUAGAGGAACGGCAGUUUGCCCUUUACUGUUCUAGUCCGCUAAGGUUUUCUUUUUUCUAUAAUUAAUUAAUUUGGGGUUUAUGACCUCUACUACCCACAUAGUCCUUCUGUGUUGCGGACUUUGGAUUCAAGCUGCUAUUGACCCUUAAGUCUGCAUCUUUUUGUCUUAUUCUAAAUCCCGGUCCUUCCCGCUAUACUAAAUCCAGUCCCCCUCUCUAUACUAAAUCCCAGCACCCCCUCUACUUAACCCCAGCAUCCCCCUCUACUAAAAACAAAAACAAUAUUAGCCAUCAAGCAGACUCCACUAACUUUUCCGCUCCCAGUAUACAACUCAGGAGUCCAGCCUCUGGUAAACCCCCAAUGGCGCAGUCCGCAUCCUGUGCCAAAUGGAUCAUCCCUCUACUCCUUGAAAACCUGUGACGGUGGAGCACGUUGACUUCACGUUGGAAUGUGACAUGGCGUUGCGUGCUUCUGUGCACCUCCAGGUCAUCCACUGUCCAGCCGCAGCCAUUGCAACACUGACCAGCACACACUGAGAGACUCUCACUGACAGACACACACACACUCACUCUCUGACAGACACACACACUGACAGACACACACUUUCUGACAGACACACACACACACUGACAGACACACACUGACAGACACUCACUGACAGACAGACACACACACACUGACAAACACACACUUACUGACAGACACACACUUAUUGACAGACACACACACGUGCACACACACACAUUUAUACAUUCUUGCACACACGCACAUCAUUUUAUUUAUUGCUUCCUACCUUUGUGAGCUGGUAAGGGGCCUCUUGUAAGCUCAGUCUUCCUGCUCCUCACGCGCACAGUGUAGUGAUGCCGGGUGCCGUAAUGAAGUCAUAUUCCGGCACCCGGCAUCACGACAGAGGGUGCGCGUGAGGGAGCAGUGAGGAGCAGGAAGACUGAGCUCCCUCGCUGCCACCAAGUUCAUCUCCUCCCGGCCGGGUAAUUUUAGCAGAGUAGGCACCUGCAAUGUGGGAAGAGCAGGCGCCUACUCUGCUUUAGUAAGCAUGGCAAACUCAUGGCUCGCUGGGCCGCAAAAAUAUUAAUUGUGGACCGCGAAUCUGACAUGCUUGGUUUAAAAAGCUUGCUGGAUAUGAAAGUCACGUUGUGGUGGAACAAGGACUAUUACUUGCCAUAAAUGAUUGUGGUGCGUCUAGGUCCGGAUAUGCGCUUACAUAAGAUAGCUUUUAAAAAAAAAGUUCUACAUUUGCAGGUUAGGAGGGAGAAGUGAGAUUUGUUGUGGCGUAUGGUUAGAAAAAAGAAAAAAAUUCUUAAAACAUUAUUGCAUUAGUAACGUCUUCCGCUAUCUGUCCUCAUGUGAUACAUGUUUGUUAGCAUCUGUGGCAGACAACCCGAUGGGAAGAGGGGUUUCGCCACCAGAGAUGUUCUUUUCCCCCAAUCUGAGUAGAGCUGCAACGAUCCUAAAAGCGAUGAUCCUAAAACGUAGUGAAAUAGUUGUUAUCGCUGUUCAUUCCCUACAAACACAAGACGAGGCAAUGUGUGAGGGUAAAACUGGAAGUGGUUUAAUGGGAGCCACAGCAGGCCUUUUAUGCAAGUCCCAAUGCAAGCGGUUUCUGGUGACACAUUCCAGGGGCAUUCCUCACUUGAUCUAAGAGGGGACAGCAACAUAAGCACAAACAUUACCUCUCAGGUCCAGGACAUGCAUAAUAAUACCUCAAAAUAUAAGAUAUCCCUACAAGUAUUAUAUCCCCGGAUAUAAAAAAAAAAAAAGCUACACCAAUCACGGCCUGCCAUAUUGGUACUUACAAGGGUGUAUGCCAUCACAUCUGUGCCCCUUCUGCCUUCUUGCGGCUGCACUCACCUGCUGAAGUUCUGACUAUCUGGUUUACCUUGACAGGAUAUUAUGUGAUGGCCAUAUUAUAUCCUCCACAGCCAUAUUGGUCCUAAAAUUGGUCCUCCAGAAAAUAUCCGGCAGCCAUUUUGAAAGUCCCAGACCGAUGAUAUAAUGUACGCAAAGAUCAUAAUGUAAAAAAUAAAGAGGGACUUUUUUUUUUAAAUUCUUUAUUUAUCUGUGCUUAAGAUGGUACAGAGGUUCGUGUCGCCAUGUCAACAUAAGUAGAGAAUAAGAACAAGAAAUGGCAUAUACAUGGCAUGUAACAAAGGCACAGUUUUAACAGUACGUUGACAAAUUUUCAAAUAAUGUUGCUUGAUAAGAAGGGUUCAGCAUUGAUCUGAUAGUCUAGCCUAGGUUAUUGAGGCUGACUGCUCCACGUGGUGUAGGGCUAAUUUAAUUGUAGGUCAGAACCGCGUGCGAGUCAGCCUAUUAUGCUCGUCCCUGAGGAAGGGCUAAUGACUCAGGUCAGUUUCAUAUUUGUGCUGUGGAUUGUAAAGUUUAACUGUGGUAUAAAGAGGGACUUUUAUACAUAAUUGCAAAUAUUAAAUACACUCAAUACAUAAUGAAAAAAAGAGAUUUCUUCAAAUAUAAUUAUAAACUUCUGAAUUUAUACUUAAUUCAGAAGUUUAUAAUUAUAUUUGAAGAAAUCUCUUUUUUUCAUUAUGUAUUGAGUGUAUUUAAUAUUUGCAAUUAUGUAUAAAAGUCCUGGAGACAGAGUUCCAUUAAAAAAAAAAAGAAAUUAAUUUCUCUUUUAUGUAUUACGGUAUAUUUCAAAUGGUCACUCCCUCCCUCCUCCUAAAAUCACGGCUUAUCCAUCAAUAAAAUUAAGUGAUCUGAAAUUCCCACUGUAGACUUGGGUAAAAUGGACAGAAACAGAAUGAUUUAAAACCUUAUUUUUAAUAUUUCUAAUGUGCUAAUUCUCGUUUUAAGUGGCCGUGUGGUUUUCCUGAUUUGUAACAGGACCUCUCGCGGGCGGCUCCUCUCAUAUGGAAUAGCUUGCCUACUGCCAUCAGACUCUUCCCUAGUCUUCAAUCAUUUAAGAAGGGCCUUAAAACCCAUCUCUUCAGGAAAGCUUAUGGCCUCCCAGAGUAAUCUCUACCUUACAUACCUGUCUCCUGCUCUCUCCUAUGGGACAGUGCUUUGCUCUCUCCUCCAGCUCUGCUUCACUCCUACUUGAUAUUUAUUGUCCUAAUGUUUCAAAUACCCCACCUCCAAUAGUCUGUAAGCUCGUUUGAGCAGGGUCCUCUUCAACCUAUUGUUCCUGUAAGUUUUCUUGUAAUUGUCCUAUUUAUUGUUACACCCCCCCUCUCAAAAUAUUGUAAAGCGCUACGGAAUCCGUUGGCGCUAUAUAAAUGGCAAUAAUAAAUAAAUAAAUAAUAACAAACCAUACCACAUAAAAUCUCUUAAUUCUGUUCCAAAAAAAGUAUGUUUCUUGCACUUUUUCUUUCAAAAUACAGCUCCUAGUAAAAAAUUGUUGAAGAUUGCUUGCUCCUCUGUAUACCACUUUAGGUUUUUCACCUUUAAACUUCCUUAGAUUCUCAUUUUGUUUUAAAAUAUGCCAAUAUUAAUUAAAAAAUUUUUUUCGAAAUAUGACUUUGAGAAUUCAAACACACGCAAAAGUAACUUCUUCACAUUACGAUUUUUGAGCUUUUUCUUUAUACAUAAUUCCUCUCUUGUUUUUUUUACAUACUUCCCUAAAUCGUUUCUCUACCUAUUCUUUUUUUUUUUUUUUUUCAUAAAAGUUUUUUUAAAAGAAGGGACUGUUCUACAAGCGUAUCUUCAUCCUUACAACUCAACCUAACAAAUUUCUCAGGCAGUCUGAGGUAAAGAUCAAUGAUGGCGCUGAGAGAGACUCAUGUGAGAAAAAUUGGUAUGUGGUUCAGUACUAUGUACCCAGAGCAAAGAUCAGUAAAGUUGUGGUGCGUUAGAAAAGUCACUAUGUUGUGCCAGCAAGUUCUCUCUGCACGAGAGAUACAGCAACCCCAGAUGAUCGUUUCAGCCUUGUUAGGCAUCAUCAGUGAGGCAUAGCUGAUAUCUCCCUAGGCACCGUGAGCAAGGGGUCCACGUCUGGAUUAUCCCUUUAAACUUGUGGAGAGUCAAAAAUGGGUCGCAAGAGAAUACUGAGAACGGGCAGCAGCUGAAAUAGCCUGCCCUUCGGUCGGUGCCCGCUCAGUUCUCAAGCUGAUUUUUGCUCAUCUUGUGCAAUUACAGAGAGAACAUAUCUGAAGCAUAUCAGACUGGUCCCACCCAUACGGGCAGUCCAGAUCCGAAAUGCCAGCAAGUUCUCUCUGCACGAGAGAUACAGCAACCACAGACGAUUGUUUCAGCCUUGUUAGGCAUCAUCAGUGAGGCAUAGCUGGUAUAUAGUCUGAGACAGAGAAAAGGUGUCUGUAGUGAGUGUAGAAGAAAGGGGACAUGCCACACUGUUAGAGAGACCAACGUCUGCAUUACCUAAACUAACUUUAAUGUCAGCCAGUGCACACAAGUUUUGUGCCCAUACAUCACUCUUAAGCUUCCAAACUUAAAGGGACACUAUAGUCACCAGAACAACUACAGCUUAUUGUAUUUAUUCUGGUAAGUAGAACCUUUCCUUCAAGCUUUUUGCAGUAAACACUGUCUUUUCAGAGAAAAUAACUCCACUGGCCGCUCCUUAGAUGGCUGCUAGAGGUGCUUCCUGGGGCAGUACUGCCUAGUGUGCAGCACUGCCAUUCAGGGUCUCCACCCUUUGCAUGCAGACACUGAACUUUCCUCAUAGAGAUGCAUUAAUUCAAUUUAUCUUUAUGAGGAGAUGCUGAUUGGCCAGGGCUAUGUUGGACUUGUGCUGGCUCUGCCCCUGAUCUGCCUAGUUGACAGUCUCAGUCAAUCCUAUGGGGAAGUAUUGUAAUUUGCUCAGACCACCACUUCUGAGCCAGCAGCUGCAGAAUUGAAUACAAGUAAUAUUUUACUAUAUUUAGGGAGGCAAGAAGGGGCCAGGGUGGUGGUUUUAACAUAAUAGGGUCAGAAAUACAUGAUUGUGUUCCUGACCCUAUAGUGCUCCUUUAAGCAAGAGUAUGUGAAGAAUAGUUAAGGUUGCCACCUUUCUUUGAAAAAAAUACCAGCCUUAAUCAUUUGUAUAAUUAAUUAGUUAUGCGUGACAUCACAUGAUGUAAAUCACAAGGAGUGACAUCAGAGAAAAGUCUGUAAAAUCACCAACAAGCUACUCACUGUUUGAUUCUGCUGUAUAGAUAGAUUGCUCCCAGUGUCUCCCUGUCUCCCAGUGUCUCAGUCUCGCAAGUCACCCAAUGUCUCAGUGUCCCUAUGUAUCACAGUGUCAGUGUCCCCAUGUCGCCCAGUCCCCUAGUCUCCCAUUAUCUGUGUCCCCAUUUCUCCCAGUGUCCCAAUGUCUCAGUGUGUCCCCAUGUCACUAGGAUACUGGGGACACUGAGAGACCCAGGGACACAGAGACAUGGGGACACUGAGACAUUUAGGGAAACUGGGAGAAAUGGGGACAAUGAGACACUAGGGACACAGACACUGGGAGACAUGGGGACACUGAAACAUUUGGGGACACUAAGACACUAGGGACACAGACUUGGGAACACAGACACUGGGAGACUAGGGGACACUUGCUGGGAGACAGACACUUGGGGACACUGGGAGACAUGGGGACAGUUGUGGACAUAGACAUGUGGACAAUGUGACAUAUAGGGACACUGGGAGACAUGGGGACACCAGGCACACUGAGACACUAGGAACACAGACACUUGGAGACAUGGAUACACUGAAACCUUUGGGGACACUAAGACACUAGGGACACAGACACUGUGAAACUAGGGGAAACUGUGAGACUAGGGGAUACUGGGAGACUAGGGGACACUGGCUGGGAGACAGACACUUGGGGAGACAUGGGGACAGUUGUGGACAUAGACAUGGGAACACUGGGACACAGACACUGGGAGACAGAGACAUGGGACACAGACACUGGGAGACUUGGGGACACUGAGACACUAGGGACACUGGCUGGGGGACAUGGUGUCUCCGUGUCCCAAUGUCUCCCAAUGUCCCUAUGUCUCACAGCGUCCCCAUGUGUCUCAGCAUGCCCAUGUGUCCCCAAGUGUCUGUGUCCCCAUGUUUUUCAGUGUCCCCAAGUGUCUCAGUGUUCCCAGGUCUCCCAGUGUCUGUGUCCUAGUGUCUCAGUGUCCCCAUAUGUCCCCUAGUGUCUAAGUGUCCCCAUGUGCUCUUGCUGCCUUUACCCCCAUCCAUCACUUACCUGAGCUGUAGAGCUGCUGUCUGGACUCUCCGUGCUGUGUAGCUGCUCCCUGGGCGGAUCAGUGAGUAGUAGAGAGAGGCAGGGAUAUUCUGUAACUUCCUAUCUCUGCCUCUCUCCACACACAGUGACCUUGGUGCUGGUAUUGCAGAGUAAUUUCCAUUUAUUCUGAGAAAAUUACCUCAAAAACCAUCUGUGCCAUUAAAAUACCAGUCAGGUGGCAAACCUAAGAGUAGUUUUUAAAUGGGCCUAUUCCAUGGGCCUGGAGCUGCAGCUCCAUCAGCCCCUAUGUUAAUCCGGCCCUGCAUACGGGCAGUCCAGAUCCGAAAGGCCAGCAAGUUCUCUCUGCACGAGAGAUACAGCAACCCCAGACGAUCGUUUCAGCCUUGUUAGGCAUCAUCAGUGAGGCAUAGCUGAUAUCUCUUUCUAUCUUUUGUUUGUGUAUUCUCUAUUUAUAUUUUGUACAGCCCUGAUUGGUGAUCGUUUUUUGGCGCCGAUUUUGAAUGUAUGUAUAUGCUAUAUAUACUCCUUAUGUGCCAGGUACUAAUACUAUUCCAAUUUGAUAAAGCCUCUACGGCGAAACGCGUUAUUGGUUUUAAUAUAUUGUAUUAAUAAAUAAUUUUACAUAUAUUACCUUUUUAUACUAUUUUAUCCUUAUUUACUGUUCCUGGCAUAUCCUAAGGUGGGGAUCAUACCACCCACGCGAAUAAUAGAGUACAGAAAGGCCUGCACUCUACUUGUGAGUAUAUUUUAUUUAUUUUAACUUUUUCUUGCUAACUACCUCACCAGAGAGCACUAUUGGCUGUUUUUAUUUCUUUUCCUGAGAAUUGGACACCAGCACUCUGCAGGAGGACAAGGACCCCCACAAGUGGAGGGUUAUCCGCUGUAUGCGCAUCAUACUAGAGCUGGUCCUAGCUCAUGGAAAUGUGAGUGUGUAAUUUAUAUUUUAAUUUCACGAUUACUUAUUUAUACACUCUGCACGAUUGGUUCUUUCCCAUUGUGUCUUUCAUAUCGAGAGACGGACGACUAUUAACAAAGAAGACACCACAUCAGUUGAGACACCAUCUAUAAUUGGACUCUUUUAUAAAACAUUUUACAACUAUUUUAUUUGUAGAGAAUUUAUUUGUUUUAUUUAUCCCUCUUGGAGCAGCCUUUUCUCUGUUUUUAUUGUUUAAGAAGGGCUCUAAUGUUAAUAGUCAAAAGGCAAAUAACAAGGGUGAAAGCAGGCAGCCUUGACACGUGCCAUUCUUAAAUAUACUGGCUCCAAGAGUAGGUCAUUUAUGUGAUUUCGAGUGAUGGGACAGGAGUACAGUACUCCAAUCCAUCUCCUCCACAUUGGACUAAAGCCAAACCCUCGCAGAGCUCCCUCCAGGAAGGUCCAGUCCACCUGACCAAAUGUAAUUUCGGCGUCAGUUGAUAAAAUCAAUGCUGGGGAUCUUGAUUCGCCUUAAAUAAGAAGUUGACCUCUGUGGUGGUGUUUUCCUUGUUUCUCUGCUGGAAAUAAAGCCCACUACCAAUAAAGUAAAUUAAAAAAAAAAAAGAAUGGUGACAAUAGAGAGUUAAAUGUAAUAAUGAACUCUGAACCAGUCAGUGUCACAACAGUGACCCCUUCUCACAGAGUGUAACCCAGAGAAGAACGUACACCGGACCUUAGAGUGGCCGGACUAACAUUUAGAGUAGUCAAAUGGAUAACCAGAGAUCAAGGGAGUACAGAAGACAAAUAAACGAUAGAACCUAGCCAAAGUACGGGAAACCAGAGAGCAGAAUAGUCAAAAGGGAAAGCCAAAAGUAAAAAAACUAGGAAAUCAACACUUAAGGAGAUUAUAAGCACUAGAGGAACCAACAAGAACCACACUAGGGCGCCUUACAAGUGACAGGGAUGCCCUUUUAUAGUGUGGGGUAUAUUGCUUUAAAACCACGCCCCCAAAAGGUCCGGGGGCGUGGUCACGAAUGACUUAGGUCGGCAUUUACUUGCUGGCUACAGCACGCAUGCACCGUAUUAUAAAAAGAUGAGCGGUGUGAGCGGCCGGCGUCAGAAGGGCUGUGCCGCUCACGGAAGAGGAUGCCAUGCAGCGCGGGUCUGAUGAGGAAAGGUAAGGCAUCGUUAUAGUCAGGACCAGUGAUUUUGUUCAGUGGUGAUUGUUUAAUAGCUAGCAGAAGUUUGUUCAGUUCUUUAGGUCUGUCUAAGGUGACUGUUGGGUGACCAGUCAGGGUCACUGUUUGAGGGUAUGUUAUGCAGAUGAGAAUAUAAUUUUUGAAAUUCUUUGGCAAGGUCAGUAGAGUUGUGUACUAGUUGUCCAGUGUAAGAACAAAUUUUAGAGAUAAUGUUGCUUAAGUCCUUUGGUAAUAUAUAUAUCACAUUUGUUACUGUGUUGAUAGUAUUUGUUUGGUGAGAAGAUGAUUUUGUGAUUAAACAUUGAUUUUAAUUCAGUCAGGGUGUUGGUGGAAGGAGAAUUUUUAUGUUGUUCUAAUGAUAAGUACAGUCUGGUCCAGAAAUAUUGGGACAUUGACACAAUUCUAAUCUUUUUGGCUCUCUACACCACCACAAUGGAUUUGAAAUGCGUUCCACAAGGUCAUGGGGGGAAUGGUAUCAUUAACUUCAAAAUACAUGACAAUAAUGUCCCUAAGUUUUGUCUGUGACUCCGUGGAUACAAGUAGCGAUUUGUUCAGUUUCCAGAACCAGUUAAAUGAUUGAGGGGCAUUUGGUAACAGUGGGAGCAUGAUCAUUGCAUGGUCAGACAAGGUAAUAGGGAAGAAGAUGGACGUCUCCUUCAAUACAUGUAAGUGUCAGUGGCAAAGUAAAAGAAGGUCUAUGCUGGAAUACAAUAUUACUUUUUUUGUGUAUUUUGAAAUUUAUAUCUCAAAAUACACUUAGAAUGAUAUAUUAUAUAUAAUAAGUGUGGGUGCACUUAAUAUAAAAGAGGUAAAUUAUUAUAAUUUUUUUUUUUUACAUUCUUUAUUUUUGAAGUGCAAUGACGAUAAUACAAGUGAACAAUGCCAGUUUACAAACUUUUAUAGUAGAAGGAGAUAGAAAGUUAUGGUCAAACUUAGCAGGGUAAUCUGUUCACUUUGUUGGUACCUACACAGGUACAUCAGUUAUGUCUUAACUUUGGUCAUAAUACAGGUAAACAGUUGAAGUAUAUGUUGCAGACUCCGGGGUUACAGUUAACAGAAAAAUAACGUGUUGGCCGGCAUUUCGGGGUUAAGGACCUGUGGUUGGACUCUUUCAGCUGAGUAUGGCAUGUGCUUAUGUGGGGGUGAGGGUGAAACCGGUGGUGCCUAAUGCUUUACAGCACUGCCGCUCCUCACUAUUCGGGAGUACCACCAAGCCCAUUGCUAAAGGUGUAAGCACGGUAUGCAAGUGUAACCUUGUGAGCAGGCUCAAAUUAUAUAUAUAAUAUUUGGCGCCCAUAGAUUCCAUGUGGAUCCUCCAGGCAGUAAUAAACAUAUAAGCACACCUCAUAGUGAAGGCAAUUGGUAAGUAGGAUCUAGAAUAGGCACAGUGGUAUUGGACGUAGGGACCUUAAUAGUAUUAUCCUUUGCCUCCCUACCUGGAAUAAAUCCGGUUUGGUCCGGGUGGACCAGGGAUGGAACCAGGCGGCCUAUGUGUUGUGUCAAGAUGUUCGUGAACAGUUUGAGGUCGGCAUUAAGUAAGGAGAUGGGCCUGUAGCUGGCACAUGCAGUGGGGUCCUUGCCCUCCUUUGGUAUUGCUGCUUUGUUGCCAGGAGGGUGCCCCCUGGAAACUGCCCAUUGUCCAGUAGCGAGUUUAGACCGUUCAGCAGUUCCGGCAGCAGUAUCUCCCUGAAUGUCUUACAAUAUAGUGCCAGGAGGCAUCUGGGCCCGGAGCUUUAUUUAGUUUGGGGGUUUUCAGGGCCUCCGCAAGUUCCCAGAUUGUAAUGGGAGAGUCAAGCUCCUCCAAUUGUUCUUGCGUUAAGGUCCGGGAGACGUGUUGUUCAAGUACUCCUGCGUCCACAUUUGUCUCUGUUGUAUUGCGGUUUCCUGCGUGUCAGUUGGUAUGUUAUAGAGUUUGGUGUAGUACUCCCUGAAUUCCCCGACUAUCUUGUCGGGUAUUUGGGUAAGGGCCCCCCGCAUGUUUUGAUCUUGGUGAUUUAGCACAUACAGCGUUUCUGUUGCAGCAUUCUAGCCGGCAUGCGGCUGCAUUUGCUAGAAAAUUCGUAGUAGUGUCUGUUGGAUUUGUGGAGCAUGUGUAACAGUUUCUGUGAAAGCAGUUGUCGCAGGGUGCGGUGGGCCCCCAGGAGGGCCUGGUAGGUAUCUUCCGAUUGUGUAGACUUAUGUUCCUGUUCGAGUUGGGUGACUCUCACGUGUAGUUCCACCAGUUGCCUGCCUUGUUCUUUCUUUCUCGCAGUGCAGAUUUUAAUGAAAUGGUCCCUAACAACAUACUUAUGAGCCUACCAGCUGGUCAGUGGUGGGGUCUCAGUGGGGGUAUUAGACUAGUGACAGUUUCAGAAGAGGAAUCAGUCAGGAGCUAUUAACAGUUUAAUUGAUACGCUUUUAUGAAGAAGUGGGUUUUUAACGAUUUUUCGAAGGAGUGGAGACUGGGUGAGCAUCUAACGGAGGAGGGAAGCAAGUUCCACAGAAAUGGUGCAGCCCACGAGAAAUCUUGAAGUCGAGCAUCAGAGGUGGGAGUACGGACAGAAGAUGUAAGACGUAAGUUUUCAGCAGAUUGUAAGGGCCUAGGCGGGACAUACUUGUGUAUAAGGGAGGAUAGAUAGGUGGGAGCAGCAUUAUGUAGCGAUUUGAAAGCAAGAACCAGUAUUUUAAAUUGAGCUCUAUAUUUUAUAGGAAGCCAAUGUAGGGACUGACAGAAGAGUGAGGCAUGGGAGGUGCGGACGGACAGGAAGAUGAACCUCGCUGCCGCAUUCAUUAUGGACUGUAACGGCGCUAGUUGGGAGCACGUAAAACCACUAAGAAGCGGAUUACAGUAGUCAAGGCGAGAAAGGGCCUUUGGUGUUAAGUAGGGGUGGAUGCGCUCAAUGUUUUUGAGAUGGAAAUGACAGGAUUUGGCGAUAGAUUGAACAUGAGGUUUGAAGGAGAGGUCGGAGUCAAAGAGAACACCUAGGCAGUGAGUCUAUAUGGUGGAGCUGAUGGUAGCACCGUUGACUUGGAGGGAGACAGACAUGGGAGUAGCAACACUUGAGGGAGGAAAGACCAGAAUUUCAGUUUUGGUCAAGUUUAGUUUAAGGAAGUGGGCAGCCAUCCAGUUAGAAAUAGCAGAGAGGCAGUCAGAGACAAUAGUCAAGAGUGACAGGGAGAGAUCAGGAGAGGACAGGUAUAUUUGCGUGUCAUCUGCAUAGAAAUGAUAUUGCUAUUAUUAUAAAUUAUGGCUAUUAAUGGCCAGGUGGUGAGGAGCUCAGUCUCUACACGUCCUGUCACAUGCUCGGUCUGGCCACGCCCCCCGAAAGAGGUAAGUUAUGAUUGAACAGAAAGAUAACUCAAAUUCUAGGUUUUGUUUUUGUCAGAACUUGUACAAUUGCCUCUGUCUAGACUUGUAUAGACAAGACUUAAAAAAUCAUAGUUAUGUAAAGGACCUUUAAAAACAAACUGGACAUUUUUAAAACUUAAUAUUACAAACUUGGAAUGGAUAUUUUUUUUCUUUUUUCUAACCAUAUUCCUGAACAUUUGUUAAUUUUGCUGAUGUUUGAAAUCACUGCAGAUUGGGUGAAGUACUACAAAACUCUUUUGAUGGUCCCAACAACUAAAGUAAGUUUUGCAAUUACCAGGUAAUGGAGCGUGAAGAAUCUGCUAAACAAUUAAACUUUAAUAUGCAUUAGGUUUACUCAACCCUCAAAAAUAGUGUUUUAAAUAAACACUCAUUUUGACCAGACAUACUGGUCACACCCUGCCCCCAUAGAUGACGAAAAAAAAUAUAAAAUAAAUAAUAUAUCUUCUGUUCCAGUUCCAAGGCCUAGUUCUCCUUACAGCCCAAUCCUCCUCUGCCGGUGUCAGUCCUCUCAAGGGGGAUAGAUGUCAGGGAAGGCUAGCUGGGGGAGGACAUGUGAGGGCUUCUGCCAUUGGCUGUCUGGCGCCAGCAUGCUAUGUGUGUGAACAGAGAGAACAAUAUAUACACACUAAUUGGAAAAAGAAUAGUACCUACUAAUUAACAAUUAAGUGGUACAAAAAAGGACUAGGUGUAACCCAGGUGUACCUCACAAACACCCAAUAUACAUAUAGUAACACGAAAAAAGUGGGAAAACACCCAAAAAAUACAAUAAAAAUUGAAUACAACCUGGAAAGAUGAACCAGGGUAAUAUUAAGUGUUAAUAUAAAUCUGUAAUGAUAAUAAACACUACAUAGCGUAAUACAGUAAAAGUGAAAUAAGUGGUGUGCUCUAUAAGAAUUGCACUCACAAACACAGGUGUAAAAAGGCUUCUCACCCCACCACGGGUUAAAACGAUAGGAAAGGCCGGUCAAAUUCAAUCCUCUUUAAUUCCUUGAAUGGACGAGGAAAAGAGAGCCAUACAUGGUUCCCACUUUUUUCGUGUUACUAUAUGCUACGUGUGUGGCCUCAGAUGCCAAAUAUAGAAUAUAGAACUGCUUGGAUAAGAGUUCCCCAAUGAUGUGGCCGGAGGUGGAGUUACCCCUCUUGGAGCAGAGGGUUAAACUCUUUAUGUGUAGCGUUUCAUAGCAAAAUGCUGCACAUACAGGCUCCAUGCAGCUCCAUGCACCAUGACCUUAAAAUCACUGAAGUGGUAAUGGUGCUUGGCAUAACACUUUAAUAAGGGUGAUAGGCUUAUACACUGUUAAAUAUCAGGAAUUCAAAGUGCAUUUUAAGUUAAGCUAAAUUGGGGGAAAUGCUCCAAGUCACAUGUUUUCAGUUUUCAGUUUUGCUAUAUUUUACUAGAAUUUGAUUUUAACUUUUAAAUUCUAAUAGUUCACACUUUAAUUAACAACCCUGUUUGGGAUUGGGGGUCAAAAUGGGAAAAAGAAACACAAUCUAACAUCCCAUUUCUGCUUCUUUCUGUCUGGUUUAUUCACAAGUGAGAAUUCAAAGUGAAUUUCAAUUUAAGGCCAGAGUAGCCAAACUGAAAGCAUUACUGACGUAACGAAUGUUUCAAGAUUGGUUAUUUUGAACUUAAAUUAUUUCUCCAAUCGUUCCCCCCCUCCCUGCCUGUGAGAGGUAAUGGUGCCCUUGCCCAUAUCUUGUAUCCCAUAUUACUCAGGGGUAAACAAGCAUUCUCGAGAGGCUGCCACAGUGGUUCCUUUGACAUAGUAGGUUUAUUGAGAAGGCGCACACCUUGCGUAAAAAAAAAAAAAUGGCCUGAUAUCUGGCAUUCCCAAGCCCCCCUUGGAAUAGGAGAGGCUUAGGGUGCGACUCACUAUUCGUGGGGGUUUCCUCCUCCAAAUGUGUGCAUUUAUCGCAGACUGAAAUUGUUUAAUCAUUUUGUUUGGUAGUGUAAUAGGUAUUGUUCAAAAAAAGUAUAGAAUGUACGGAAGUAUCAUCAUCUUUAUUGAACUAAUGCGGCCCAUCCACGAUACCUCCAUGUCGGUCCAUUGUAUCAUGUGGUUUUCUUGUGUAAUUUGGUAAUUUGUGCAGGGAUUUGGUCCGUUUGAUCUCUCAAUAUGAAAACGAUUUCUUGCGCCAGUCAAAGGGGUAUUUUUGUGUUAGUUAGGACACCCAUGGCGCGUGCCAUUACGUAUCUGAAAGUGUGAGGAGAGGAAACCUGUGUUAAAUACUAUAGCUGCCGGUUGUUGGUACAAGGCCAGAAUGCUUGUCAGGAACUGCUGUUGGAAACCCAUUGUGGAUAGGGUUUGUGUCAUGUAUGUCCAGUUAAAACGAUCAAAUGCCUUUUCAGCGUCUAACGCCAUUAGUAUCCCUGGAUGAGAAGUUUGGUUAGCCCAUUCAACUAGAUUAAUAAAGUGCUUAGUAUUAUCGCCUACUUGCCUCCCUGGGACAAACCCGGCUUAUUCGUAUUCGUCUGAAAUUAAUGUGGGAAAUAGAGUUUUGAUGCGAUUGGCUUGGAGUUUGGCAUAUAGCUUAACAUCGGCGUUAAGCAGGGAAAUUGGUCUUUGGUUUGGGCAACACCACGACAAACACUUCCAACAUUUCCCGAGGAAUCUGGCCUGUGGAUUUGAAAUGGUUGAAGUGUUUAGUGAGGGGUGGUGUUAAUUCAGUGUCCAGUUUGAUGUAAUAGUAUUUAUCAAUCAGGGCCUGGCGCUUUGAGGUUGGGCAGGUAUCUAAUUGCUUCUUCCAUGGAGCCUACUCUGUUCUAGGGAGAUACACGGGAGCCUGAUCUGGGUUAAAAAGCUUUGAAUGUCUCCCAUGGUGGGUUGAUGUGUGAAGUGUGAUGUGUGUUAGAAUCUCUGUCUUGUUGGUAAAGAUUUGCAUAAUAUGUCGCUAGUUCUUUAACUAUAUCUUGUGGAUUGUAUAACUUAUCCCCCUUGGUAGAGGAGAUGUACGGAAUCUUAGUCUGGAGAUAUUUAUUUUUUAAUUUCCUGGCUAGCAGCCUGCCCGCUUUAUUGCCAGAUACACAGUAGACCGAAUGUGUUUCAAAUACCUAAUGUGUUUCUAAGUGGUGUGCAGGAGUGUAAGUCUGCCUUCAACUUUUCCAAUUGUGUGUGAGUUUGCCUGGCCGGGUUAGCUUUGUGUCUGGUUUCCAUAGAUGAGAUUUGUUGGAGGAGCCGUGACUGGGCCUCGUUUUGUCGCUUUUUCUUCAAGGACCCUAUUUGUAUUAACACACCGCGCAUGACCACUUUAUGUGCCAUCCAUUGCGUUGGCAGGGGAGUGGGACAAUUAGCGUGUGUCAAGUAGUAGAUGGUUAGUUGGGAUUUGAGAUGAGUGAGAUUGUCUGAGUAGUGACUUGUGUAUACGUCUGACUGGGUAUGGGAUUUGUAGAGUCACAGUUAUUGGAACAUGUUCUAACCAUGUGAUCGGUCCGAUGGAUAUAUAUGGACACAUUAACACGAGUGGUUUUUUCUACCAGGCAUAGGUCAAUUCUUGAGUAUGUCAUGUGUGCCUGCGAGUAAAAGGUAAAAUUCCUUAUCGUAUCAUGUGUCAUACAGGACGUGUACACGCAGCAAGUUUGCCAGGUGUGUGCUAAGUGAUAUGGCCGACUGUUUCGGCGGUUUGUGGUUCAUUCUCAGAAUGUCCAGUCUUGGGUCUAAAAUAUAGUUAAAGUCGCCACACAGUAUAGUAUGGCCUUUUUUGUCAAGUUUCUUAAGAGCUGCACCGUAAUACAACUUUUGUGUGUUGUUUUGUGUGUUGUUAGGGGCGUACAGGGAUGCUAUCAUGACCUGUAGACCAUUUAGUGCACCCCCCAAGAUAAUGAGUCUGCCUUCCUUGCCUAUAUGUUGGGCUUCCAGUGAAGGGUGUAGCGGUGAUAAAGACAGCCACUGAGUAGCAAUUGGAGAGCAAAACAAAAGGGGGUGUACAGAGAACAAACCCAUAAGAGGGAAACCAAAGUAUACACAUUUUGAUGCAGCGAGUAGGGGCUGAAAAUUUAGUUGAGGUGCUAAUCCGCGCAUUAUGUGCAAGCUCGUAGUGUACUCAACUGAGGGAGGGGACCGAACUGUAGGGCCAAGAGUUGUCGACUCCUUGAACUUAUCAUAGAACUUGUAGCUUUCUGAAGCCCUGGUGGCCUGCCAAACCAGGGGGUGGACAGAAGAUAGGUCAGGUUGUACAGUGCGUAUUAAGCCUUAUGCAUGAUAUAAUAUAUCACAUCAGGCUGCAAAACAUAAACAUAAAUUGGAACACAUAUUAACUCAAACUAAAAUCAGUUAAAGGAUAUCACUUCUCCCUAUGGAAUGUGUGCUUGCUUUGCAAUAGAGUCAAUGUUCUUGAAAGUUAUUUGCUUGUAGUACAGUCCCCAUUCUCUAAGCAGCUUCAGUACAUCCUCCGGCUCAUUCACCACGUUGUUUCUACCGGUCCGCCAGAUUAAGAUCUUGGUAGCCCCAUCGAUCUUGGAUGGAGUGGUUCCUGAGAGUCAUAGACAAAUUCUCUACGUCUCCCCAUUGUGAGGGCUGAGAGAUCUGCGAACAGUUGGAAUCACGCACAGGAGAGCUGAGAGAUCUGCGAAGAGUUGAAUGUCUUGGUAAGGUUCUGCCAAUUCCUACAGCUUUCUCGCUGUCACCAGCUUGGCAUCUUUGACUUUGAAGUAGUGGAAUUUCACCCCUGCAUCUCUCGGGGUGUCUGCUGUGAAAUGUUAAGGCCUGAGUAAGCAAUGGGCUUUGUCCAUUAGCCAGUCCCCUUCCUUAAUGGCAGAUAUUAGAGCUUUUCAGAGGUCUAGGAUCUAAGUGGACAUUAUUAUGCCGUGAGCAGCUAGUUUCCUUUUAAGCUGUUGGUGUUCUUCAACUAGAGCUUGGACUUUGUAAACAACUACAUUGUGCGCAGUGCACAGCUCUUCUGUGCGUGAUUCAAAGUGAGUUGUUCUAUCACCCAGGUCUGAUGUCAGUUAGCUGCACCCCUCUCUCCAAUAAUUUUUGAUAGUUAAUGGAAUAAUGCUAUUGGCAUUAUUCUGUAUGUCCUCCUCUAAAAAAACUAAAAACAGUGUUUUAAAAAAAAAAAAAUAAAGUUUAAUUUACCUUAACCCAGCACUGGGCAAAGUUCCCAGCGCUGCUUUGUGCACACCCAUCAGAAGUCACAGGAGCCACACCGAGGUCCAAUCAAAGGCUUCUUUUAGAGAAGCCUUUGAUUGGACCAUUUUCUGAGUGUUCAGUGCAUGCUGAAAACAGACUAAUUUAUACACAGAAUUUUCAUUAGGCAGCCCAGAAUGGGCUUCAAAAAGCAAAAGUGGGCAUGGUGGUUGGAGUAACCCAUUACAUUUUUAAUUCACUUUGAAUUGCAACUUUAGUGAAUGACCCUGAAUGUCUUCCUUUCUGUAUUUCAUGGCUAGCAAUUUUGCUUUAUUUCUUUUUAAUUGUGCCCUUUGUGUGCUCUUUAAUUUAACUUGUGAAAUUAUUUAGCAUUUUUAAUAUACAUACUGUCAUCCUGUAACACUACUUAUAUGCCAGCUUUAGUUCCUUGUAUGUGUCAGAUAAGGCUUCCGGCUUCCACAUAUGGGUUGAAGAGCUUAUGACCUACUGUAACUGCCAAUGCUUAAAGCUGAUCAUAAUUUUAUGGACGAGAUCAUGUUCAUGUGCGUAUUGUAAUAUUUACAUUUGCUGGUACUUUCUACCUCAGCCAUGUUAAGCAGUACUGUAUUACAUCAUUUAUACUGAUAUUGACUUGAUCUUAUCUCUUUCAGGCACUAGCCCUAACAUUUACAGACUUUGUAACUGAACCCUUAGAGCACAUCUGGAAAGAAAUUGGCAAGGUCAUUAUUUCUUUUCUUUCAGAAAUCCCAGGCCAUUUGCAAAUUCCAGUCCUUAUUUGCAUGACAAUUAUUCUAUUGGUAAGUUUUAAUAAGUAUA